AUACGGAGGAUCCAAGCUUUAUCCGGAAUCAUUGGGUUUAAAGGGUCCGUAGGUGGAUAAUUAAGUCAGAGGUGAAAUCCUGCAGCUCAACUGUAGAAUUGCCUUUGAUACUGGUUAUCUUGAGUUAUUAUGAAGUAGUUAGAAUAUGUAGUGUAGCGGUGAAAUGCAUAGAUAUUACAUAGAAUACCGAUUGCGAAGGCAGAUUACUAAUAAUAUACUGACACUGAGGGACGAAAGCGUGGGGAGCGAACAGGAUUAGAAACCCCAGUAGUCC
rnacentral:rRNA from 1 species